UUUUAACUGCGAGUUUGCCUUUAGGCAAACCUCGUGGAUUAUAUGCCGUUUCUCAUUGCAUUACGAAACGGCGGAAAUUCUGCAAUCCUCGGAAUUUGAAAAUUCUUGCGGUUGCAGAAUUUAUAG
rfam:Treponema pedis str. T A4, complete genome.